AAUGGGCGAAAGCCUGACGGAGCAACGCCGCGUGAGGGAUGAAGGCCCCUGGGCUGUAAACCUCUUUUAUCAAGGAAGAAGAUCUGACGGUACUUGAUGAAUAAGCCACGGCUAAUUCCGUGCCAGCAGCCGCGGUAAUACGGGAGUGGCAAGCGUUAUCCGGAAUUAUUGGGCGUAAAGCGUCCGCAGGCGGCCCUUCAAGUCUGCUGUUAAAAAGUGGAGCUUAACUCCAUCAUGGCAGUGGAAACUGUUGGGCUUGAGUGUGGUAGGGGCAGAGGGAAUUCCCGGUGUAGCGGUGAAAUGCGUAGAUAUCGGGAAGAACACCAGUGGCGAAGGCGCUCUGCUGGGCCAUCACUGACGCUCAUGGACGAAAGCCAGGGGAGCGAAAGGGAUU
rnacentral:rRNA from 1 species